rnacentral:rRNA from 1 species
UACAGAGGAUGCAAGCGUUAUCCGGAAUGAUUGGGCGUAAAGCGUCUGUAGGUGGCUUUUUAAGUCCGCCGUCAAAUCCCAGGGCUCAACUCUGGACAGGCGGUGGAAACUACCAAGCUGGAGUACGGUAGGGGCAGAGGGAAUUUCCGGUGGAGCGGUGAAAUGCGUAGAGAUCGGAAAGAACACCAACGGCGAAGGCGGCGACCUGGACAGAUAUUGACGCUGAGGUGCGAAAGCGUGGGGAGCAAACAGG